rnacentral:rRNA from 1 species
UCUGUUUGAUCCUGGCUCAGAACGAACGCUGGCGGCAUGCCUAACACAUGCAAGUCGAACGAAGGCUUCGGCCUUAGUGGCGCACGGGUGCGUAACGCGUGGGAAUCUGCCUUUAGGUUCGGAAUAACUCCCCGAAAGGGGUGCUAAUACCGGAUGAUGUCGCAAGACCAAAGAUUUAUCGCCUGAAGAUGAGCCCGCGUAGGAUUAGCUAGUUGGUGAGGUAAAGGCUCACCAAGGCGACGAUCAGUAACUGGUCUGAGAGGAUGACCAGUCACACUGGGACUGAGACACGGCCCAGACUCCUACGGGAGGCAGCAGUGGGGAAUAUUGGACAAUGGGGGGAACCCUGAUCCAGCCAUGCCGCGUGUGUGAAGAAGGUCUUCGGAUUGUAAAGCACUUUAAGUUGGGAGGAAGGGCAGUAAAUUAAUACUUUGCUGUUUUGACGUUACCGACAGAAUAAGCACCGGCUAACUCUGUGCCAGCAGCCGCGGUAAUACAUAGGUCGCAAGCGUUAUCCGGAAUUAUUGGGCGUAAAGAGUUCGUAGGUGGUCUUGUAAGUCUGAAGUUAAAGCCCGGGGCUCAACCCCGGCCCGCUUUGGAUACUGCAAGACUAGAGUAAUAGAGAGGUUAGUGGAACUCCAAGUGAAGCGGUGGAAUGCGUAGAUAUUUGGAAGAACACCAAUGGCGAAGGCAACUAACUGGCUAUUAACUGACACUGAGGAACGAAAGCGUGGGUAGCAAACAGGAUUAGAUACCCUGGUAGUCCACGCUGUAAACGAUGAUCACUAGCUGGUAGAGAAUUUACCGGCACAGCUAACGCAUUAAGUGAUCCGCCUGAGUAGUAUGCUCGCAAGAGUGAAACUUAAAGGAAUUGACGGGGACCCGCACAAGCGGUGGAUGAUGUGGAUUAAUUCGAUGCAACGCGAAAAACCUUACCCACCUUUGACAUGUACGGAAUCCUUUAGAGAUAGAGGAGUGCUCGAAAGAGAGCCGUAACACAGGUGCUGCAUGGCUGUCGUCAGCUCGUGUCGUGAGAUGUUGGGUUAAGUCCC